GUAUCCACCAAAGACCAAAUGACGAUGAUGAAAACUCCAUAAAGCAUAAAGCAUGAAGGUCUGUCUCUUUGGUUUGCCAUAAAAAGCCUUCGGAAGAAAUUUGUAACAAUUAAAACUAAAAAAAAACCAACCAAAUACAUAAUUAAUGUAUAAAAAAAAACAAUUAACGAAAAAAAAUACGACCAACAAGAAACACCGAUUUACCACCGAAUGACAGACUCCAGACUUGAGACAGAUUUAUGUCGAGAUUUAACAUGUUUUUGAGCGCUUAACAUUUCCCCAUAACCUGGUACAAUGUUACAACAGAACAACAUUUUAAGAAUUAACGGUAAAAUGGAACGAUAGGUUCAAAGCACAAAAACAACUUCGUAAAAGCACACUGUAAUACCGC
rnacentral:lncRNA from 1 species